AGUAACGCGUGGAAAACCUGCCGUAUACUGGGGGAUAACACUUAGAAAUAGGUGCUAAUACCGCAUAAGCGCACAGCUUCGCAUGAAGCAGUGUGAAAAACUCCGGUGGUAUACGAUGGUUCCGCGUCUGAUUAGCUAGUUGGUGAGGUAAAAGCCCACCAAGGCGACGAUCAGUAGCCGGCCUGAGAGGGUGAACAGCCACAUUGGGACUGAGACACGGCCCAGACUCCUACGGAAGGCAGCAG
rnacentral:rRNA from 1 species